rnacentral:rRNA from 1 species
GCAUAUCAAUAAGCGGAGGAAAAGAAACCAACAGGGAUUGCCUCAGUAACGGCGAGUGAAGCGGCAAGAGCUCAAAUUUGAAAUCUGGCUCCGUUCGGGGUCCGAGUUGUAAUUUGGAGAGGAUGCUUCGGGACUGGCCCCCAUCUAAGUGCCCUGGAACGGGCCGUCAUAGAGGGUGAGAAUCCCGUCUGGGAUGGGUGGCCUGGCCCGUGUGAAGCUCCUUCGACGAGUCGAGUUGUUUGGGAAUGCAGCUCUAAAUGGGUGGUAAAUUUCAUCUAAAGCUAAAUAUUGGCCGGAGACCGAUAGCGCACAAGUAGAGUGAUCGAAAGAUGAAAAGCACUUUGAAAAGAGAGUUAAACAGCACGUGAAAUUGUUGAAAGGGAAGCGCUUGCAACCAGACUCGCCCGGGGGGGCUCAACCGGCACUCGUGCCGGUGCACUCCCCCCCGGGCGGGCCAGCGUCGGUUUGGGCGGUCGGUCAAAGGUCCCCGGAAUGUAUCACCUCUCGGGGUGUCUUAUAGCCGGGGAUGCAAUGCGACCAGCCCGGACCGAGGAACGCGCUUCGGCUCGGACGCUGGCGUAAUGGUUGUAAGCGGCCCGUCUUGAAACACGGACC